AGUCUGUGGUGCGAGCAACACCAGAGCAAGUCUUUGUACCUCUCCCAAGCAUCAUACAUGUUCUUGUCAUCGAACUGCACAAAAUAAGAUAUGUCAUUUCUCAAUCU
rfam:Ricinus communis cultivar Hale ctg_1100012358971, whole genome shotgun sequence.